CACGUAGGGUCCGAGCGUUGUCCGGAAUUACUGGGCGUAAAGCGUGCGCAGGCGGUUGUGCAAGACCGAUGUGAAAUCCCCGGGCUUAACCUGGGAAUGGCAUUGGUGACUGCACGGCUAGAGUGUGUCAGAGGGGGGUAGAAUUCCACGUGUAGCAGUGAAAUGCGUAGAGAUGUGGAGGAAUACCGAUGGCGAAGGCAGCCCCCUGGGAUAACACUGACGCUCAUGCACGAAAGCGUGGGGAGCAAACAGG
rnacentral:rRNA from 1 species